GAAAGUUGGGGAUGCAAGGCCGCAAUUGUAUUCAGUACAUACUUGAAUGACCAGUAAAGAUAUAUGCUAUUAUGCAUGUAUCUAGCUAUUGCUACAUUUUAUGGUGUUGUAGGCCCAAAAACUGCAGCUGAUCUAAGUCAAAAGAUCAUGAAAAAACUUCAUAAUGCCAUAUUCUAAUUUUUUGAAUUGUUUGUUCAGCACAGGAGUAGUAUUUCACAACCACACAUUAAUUGGUGCAAAACCAUAAUGGACCGCAUGUUUUUCACAAUCCCAUGCAAAUGGCACAUAAAUAAGCUAUUCACAUAGCUUAAUUAUAUUUGACUCUAUAAGUGAGUUCACCGGUCAACCCACUUACACUCUUACUAUAAUGCAUGAUUAACCUCAUACCAGUACAGCAUGUUGCACCCUGCCAUCCUAUCAGUAUUUAGCCGGCGAAAAACUAAGAGGUAGCGAUUAGCGAAAGGAUCGUGGGGUAAUUAACUGGAAUGCUCGGCCACACCUUUGAUCACAGAUAGAGGCCGGAGAUGUAAUACAUUUCUAUUAUCUAAAAAAACACCUUUGAUCACAGGGAGGUUAUAUUCACAUUUCUGAAGAGAGAGAGAAGCUUCGAUGGUCGAAGCUUGUGCAUGAUUAUACAUAGUAGUUGCUAAUGUAUAUACAUACACAAGCCAUGUGAUCGAUCAGCAACGGAUGUUGAUGUGGACUCUAGAUGAUUAGGUUGAUCGAUCGAUCAGCGCUUGGGCAAUUAGGUUGUUAAUGCGGACUAUGGAUGGUUUUUUUUUCUUGGACUCUCAUCUCGGAUGUUGCGGACGAAAAAAUCCACCAAAAUUAGGUGAAGACGGACGAAAAUCCACCGGAAUCCUUACCUAUUUUUUAAUUAGGUAUAGAUUAUCAGAUAAAGGAUAAUUGGUAAUUUUCCUUAUGGAUUCACCUUAAUUGGAUGAAAUUAGAAAAAAAUGACUUUUUUUUGUUUUGAACGUAAGAAUUAAAUACAACUACGAAUCACACGUUAGUUGCAAUGAAUAUAUAUUAGCAGUUUAGCACAUGCAAUUAAAACGGCAAAGAAAGUACACUAAUUCACCGCUAAAUCGGCCUUGUUGUCUUGUCAGGAAAGGUGGAAGAACGUCCGGCCGGUCAUAAAACAAGUAAUUGAUGUCAUCCAUAAAGUUUAUAUUGUGCUGCCAGCAUACAUUUGAGUGCAGCUAGCAGAGCUCAGAUUACACACGCCGUGAUAGUCAAUCGCAAACAAAGACGGCGAGAUCAGAUUAAUAGGUAGAGGUAGAUUUUCAGUGCUCGCUUUUUAAUUCCAAGAGCUGAGAGCACAUACUGUUCUCCAGUCAAGGUUCCUAAUGCUUCCCGUGCCAAUACAAAUGCGACUAUACAUGUGAAUUAAUGGUUCGUAAACAAACAUGAAAUAUCAUGCAGCUAUAGCCAUUGUGUGUGAUCUGGAUAUAUAUUUCUGGUUGUGUUGGGGAGACAAGGUUCCUAACCUUACCUCCCGAUACGGAAAAUAAAGCACGUGAAUAUAAUAAGAUUAAUUAAGUAUUAGCCUUAAGAAAAACUUAAAAAUGGAUUAAUAUGAUUUUUUAAAGCAACUUUCAUAUAGAAAACUUUUAUAAAAAAUACACCGUUUAGUAAUUUGAAAAGCGUGCACGCGAAAAAUGAGGAAAGUGAGUUGGGAAUGAGGGGAAAAGAACACAUCUCUCACUAUACAUGCACCUCACAACUAUACAUUUCUUCCUUUUUUUUGUUCCUCACAGAAGCAUAAUAUAAGGUGCAAGCUUCUAGUGCAUAAUAUACUGCAAAUAUGCAAUGAAUUGGCAUGUGAAAAUAAAUCUCAAGGGUACCUUCAAGUUUACUGGAGUGUGCUAGCUAGCUAGCAUCUUAAACGACAUGCAGUGGAUGUGAGAUUAAUGUUAAUUGGAGAUCUAACUUUGUCAUGUGUGAUCCUUUUCUCCGAUGGCGAUCGACCAUUUUGUUUGCUGAUAACUAUGACAAUUUCUAUGACUGUUAAGUACUGACAUGUCAGCAUUCUGUUGCCAAAUAGUAGUAUAUAUCCUUUUAACUCAAACGGAGGUGAGCCCCUACAUUUUUUUUAAUUUACUUUAUAAAAACUUGCCUACAAAGUUUAGCCCGGCCGCUCGGCCCAUUUAAGCCCACCCAAAUUUAGAAGGCUAAGGUUGUGUAUAAAUGAUAUUGUUCCAAUGGUUUAUAGAUUUUUGUUGGAUGGAGUCUAGAUUCAUUAUAUUAGAAUAUGUCACAUCUAACCAAAAUUUGUUAGGGACAAUUUUGUUUUUACCCUCACUUUCAUGUCUAAUAUUGAUUUUACCCUACUUUUUAGGGUUUUUGAUUUUUUCCCUACUUUUUUGAAUCGAAAGAGACGUUUACCCCUGGUUUAAAUGGAAGUUGGUGGGACCGGGUUUAUGGCAGUAAAAAAAAUAGAGAAAUAAAGGAAAAAUGGUUUUUCGAAUUUGUGUUUUACCUUCUUACCCCUUGAAAAUAUCUAACAGUCUUUUCUUUUCACGCACACAAAUCGACUCUUCCCGAAUCGUGCGGCGGCAGCCAGGCGGUGGCGACGGCGAGUGGGCUAGGGCGCAGCUCCUCCCGCCGGCGAGCAGGAGAGGGGUAGGCAGCGGCGAGCGGCGGCCAGGCGGCGGGGAGAGGGGUAGGCGGCGGGGAGCGGGCGGCAGCCAGGCGACGGGGAGAGGAGCGUAGGCGGCGUCGAGCUUCCUUGCCGCCGGCAUCGAGCUUCCUGCGCACCUCUCUUGCCGCCGACAAAAUGGGGCUCCAGAUCGACACCCACUGCAGCCUAACGGCAGCACAGGCUCGCCGCCAACACCGCGUCCAUGGGGGCACGGUUAGAUGAGACCAUGGGGUUGUCAGGGGUAUGCGGCCGCACUCGCCGAAAGCCGAUUAACAUCCCUGAUCUCCGUGGAGGAUCAUUGUUUGGUGAGAUUAUGAGUUCGUUUGUUUGUGCUCACCAACUGUUUGAGGAAAUGCUUCCGAGAUUUCGAGUACUAUAUAGGCACUAAACAUAUCGAUUUUAAUGUUGUUGGUACAGAUAUGGCUCACUAUCUGUCCAAAUUGUAAUCUCCAAAUCUGUCAUUUAAUUUUAAAACAUAUUCAAAAAAUAAAUUUUCAAA